GGCUGGGUAGCAAAGUGGUAAUGCAGGGGCCUGCAAAGCCCUUAUCGUCGGUUCGAUUCCGUCCCCGGCCUCCA
rnacentral:tRNA from 1 species